rnacentral:rRNA from 1 species
UAAUACGUAGGCAGCGAGCGUUGUUCGGAAUUACUGGGCGUAAAGAGUGUGUAGGCGGUGCUCUAAGUUCGGUGUGAAAUCUCCUGGCUUAACUGGGAGGGUGCGCCGGAAACUGGAGUGCUCGAGCGUGGGAGAGGAAAGCGGAAUUCCUGGUGUAGCGGUGAAAUGCGUAGAUAUCAGGAGGAACACCUGUGGUGUAGACGGCUUUCUGGACCAAAGCUGACGCUGAGACACGAAAGCGUGGGUAGCAAACAGGAUUAGAUACCCUGGUAGUCCACGCCCUAAACGAUGCAUACUUGGUGUCGGCCAUUCAGUUGGUCGGUGCCGGAGCUAACGCGUUAAGUAUGCCGCCUGGGGAGUACGGUCGCAAGGCU